rnacentral:rRNA from 1 species
GACGAACGCUGGCGGCAUGCCUAAUACAUGCAAGUUGAACGAUGAUAUUCUCUGCUUGCAGAGAAUUGAAGAGUAGCGAACGGGUGAGUAACACGUGGGGAACCUGCCCAUGAGAGGGGGUUAACAUUCGGAAACGGAUGCUAAUACCGCAUAAUGCUUUGGACCGCCUGGUCCAGAGACGAAAGACGGCUUUUGCUGUCACUCAUGGAUGGCCCCGCGCCGUAUUAGCUAGUUGGUGAGGUAAUGGCUCACCAAAGCUGUGAUACGUAGCCGACCUGAGAGGGUGAUCGGCCACACUGGGACUGAGACACGGCCCAGACUCCUACGGGAGGCAGCAGUAGGGAAUCUUCCACAAUGGGCGAAAGCCUGAUGGAGCAAUGCCGCGUGAAUGAAGAAGGUCUUCGGAUCGUAAAGUUCUGUUAUUAGAGAAGAACAAGUCAAGGAGUAACUGUCUUGACUUUGACGGUACCUAACCAGAAAGUCACGGCUAACUACGUG